GCUGGACCCACAGGGAGCCCUGCGACUCAGCCUCCUCAAUGUGCAGCUCCUGGUGGUCCCUGAGCAAGUCUUGAUGUCCUUGAAGGAUCUCUUGUACCCUGCCCAUGCCCGCUGGCUCCUGCUCACUAGUACAGAGACUGUCUGGGAGAUUGACAUUGAAAAUGGAUCUGUCAGAGCCCAGAGAGCAGAGAAUGUGUGUGUGGCGCCUUCAGUAAAAGAGGGUGAGGCUCCCCAAGGCUUUCUGCCCCUGAUGGGACCCCCAGCAAACCUUGUGCAUGGAGUCAGCCCUUCUUCCUGGCGUGUCCUCUACCUCAAACCUGACUACAGAGCGGCCGUCCCC
rnacentral:lncRNA from 1 species